rnacentral:rRNA from 1 species
GACGUAGGGGGCGAGCGUUGUCCGGAUUUAUUGGGCGUAAAGAGCGCGUAGGCGGCCCGUUAAGUCGGAUGUGAAAACCCGUGGCUCAACCACGGGCCUGCAUCCGAUACUGGCGGGCUCGAGGCAGGCAGGGGAGAUCGGAAUUCCUGGUGUAGCGGUGAAAUGCGCAGAUAUCAGGAGGAACACCGGUGGCGAAGGCGGAUCUCUGGGCCUGUCCUA